ensembl:scaRNA
UGGACAUUUAAUUUUGUUCAGUUUCUUCUUGAAAUGAAGACAACUCUUUGUAAAUGUCCUAGAGAAAUACUGUAGCUUUCUGUUCAGCCUUUUUAAGUAAAAAGGAUGGAUCGUUCCAUUAAAAAAAAAA